rnacentral:rRNA from 1 species
CGCCCAUUAAAGUGGUACGCGAGCUGGGUUCAGAACGUCGUGAGACAGUUCGGUCCCUAUCCGUCGCAGGCGUAGGAAAUUUGAGAAGACCUGUCCUUAGUACGAGAGGACCGGGAUGGACGUACCUCUGGUGUACCAGUUGUUCUGCCAAGGGCAUGGCUGGGUAGCUAUGUACGGAAUGGAUAAGCGCUGAAAGCAUCUAAGCGCGAAGCCAACUUCAAGAUAAGAUUUCCCACCGCAAGGGUAAGAGCCCAGAAAGACUAUCUGGUUGAUAGGUCGAAGGUGUAAGUGCAGCAAUGUAUUUAGCUUAUCGAUACUAAUAGGUCGAGGACUUGACCAAU